rnacentral:lncRNA from 1 species
CUCCAGUGUAUUUUCUAGUUACUUUCCUACAAUUUAUCGCCCCAAACCCAAACCCCUUUUCCCUUGUCUUAUCAUAUCUUCAUAAUUUAUCAUUCUUUGUUUUUUUUCCAAAAAGGUAUAUAAGGUCUCAGGCCUAUCACUUUUUGGGGGGUCUAUACUUUUUUACAAAGACCUCUAUAUACAUACGUACUAAUAAACCUUUUCUCCUAUGUAAUCUGUCUUUUGACAGUCUAAUUUGUAGAGCCCCAACCACUGAACUGAAGAAGGUAAAGGAAAACAUUUUUGUUUGUUUGUUUCCUUCUGAAUUACAUGGUCUCUAGUGCUUGAAUGGCCCUUCGAUCUAAGUAUUAGAUCUCUUUUGCAGAAGAGAAAAUUAGGGUUAAAAUACUUGUCCCAGAUCACAAGGAGAAUGUACACAAGACUCUAGAUUGUUUCAGUCAAUCCUCAUUUGACUUUGUCAUGUUUAAACUAACAUUUCUCAAACCUCCUUCAAGCUAGAGUUCUAAAUGUGAAUUCACUUCUACCCAUUACAUAUACCAAUGCAAGAUUGGGACAGUGGAAAUGAGGCCAAGGCUGCCUUCUUGUGGCUCAUGGCUUUUGUUGCUGGCAAGCAAGCAUCUUGAAAAUCUGAGGGUUUUCUGUAGUAGCAAUCCCAGGUCAUUGACCAAUCUCUUGGAUGUUGGCAGGCAGUUACAGCAGUGGUGCUGGAAGAGAUGCUUGCUUCCAGCAUCUCUCUGGGGAAACCUCAGAAGUAACACUUCCCUAGGAGAGCUGUUCUAUGUCUCACUCUUGGAGUCACUAGAAGCUGUUUUUUCAGCCCUUCUUAUAAUCAUGAAGAAACCACCUGCAGGAGUCAUCACCUGAUCCAACCUAUGUAAUCACCAUAAAAACCCCAAACCAUUCCCUUUUUCUUAUUUCCCAAGACAUUUUGGACAGCUUGGGGGCCUGCCCUGCUCUCCCCAGAAAGCCUCUGUAUGUGAGUAAUAAAUCUUUCAUAUUCUUUUGGUGUGCAUAUGGUAUCAGUCUUGACAACCAAAUUUUGGAUGAGGAAGUCCAUCCUUCUUUUUCAGCCUGAACAUAAUAAGAACUAUAGGUGUUAUCACAUUGCCUACAAACAAUGUAAGUAAGACAUUUAAAAAGAAAACAAAAAGAAAAAGCAAGAAUAUCUGAUCUAAUUGGAGGUAAGCCUGACUAAAAUCCCUUAAGGACAAAGCAGCUUUAUUUGAAGAACCCUUAACUAUAAACAUAUGUGAAAUAUCUGUGCAUUAAAAUUUUUUAUGUGAAAUCCAAUUGUGAUUCAUUCUAAUAGCUUCAAUAGAAACACAA